rnacentral:rRNA from 1 species
GAUGAACGCUGACAGAAUGCUUAACACAUGCAAGUCUUUGGCGAAGCUGUGCUUGCACAGCCUAGCCAAGGCGGACGGGUGAGUAACGCGUAAGGGACUUGCCCUGCAGUCAGGGAUAACAGACGGAAACGACUGAUAAAACCUGGUAAAGUCAGGCGGACUCAUGUCCAGCCUGAUGAAAAGGAAUGCUGCAGGAGAGCCUUGCGUCCUAUUAGCUUGUUGGUGGGGUAACGGCCCACCAAGGCGAUGAUAGGUAGCCGGCCUGAGAGGGUGGACGGCCACAAGGGGACUGAGAUACGGCCCUUACUCCUACGGGAGGCAGCAGUGGGGAAUAUUGGACAAUGGGGGCAACCCUGAUCCAGCAAUUCUGUGUGCACGAUGAAGGUCUUCGGAUUGUAAAGUGCUUUCAGCAGGGAAGAAAAAAAUGACGGUACCUGCAGAAGAAGCGACGGCUAAAUACGUGCCAGCAGCCGCGGUAAUACGUAUGUCGCGAGCGUUAUCCGGAAUUAUUGGGCAUAAAGGGCAUCUAGGCGGCCGGAUAAGUCUGGGGUGAAAACUUGCGGCUCAACCGCAAGCCUGCCCUGGAAACUAUGCGGCUAGAGUGCUGGAGAGGUGGACGGAACUGCACGAGUAGAGGUGAAAUUCGUAGAUAUGUGCAGGAAUGCCGAUGAUGAAGAUAGUUCACUGGACGGCAACUGACGCUGAAGUGCGAAAGCUAGGGGGAGCAAACAGG